GUGUGUGUGUGUGUGUGUGUGUUUGUGUUGAUUGUGUGUAUUCUAGUACUCUGUUCUUAGUAGCUUCUCCGUUUCGUCGUAGGUUUUAGUUUUAAGCCAUUUAGUGAGAUGUAAUUUACAUUCGUGGUAUGUUUUUGAAUGAAUAUCUAAUUCUCUGUUAAUUUUGUUAUAAAGGUAGGACGACUUUGAAUUAAACUGCGAUCUUGCAAAAUAGGUUCUCGUACGUAAAGAUUUAGGUACAUUGACCAUAUUUCUUUUGUUUUUAUAAUUAGGGUUGUAGGGUAUUAGUUUGUGUUUUUUCAAUAUUGAUUGCAGAACAUAUAAUUUCCUAACUGAUAGAAGGUCACUGGUUUGAUAAAGCAUUUCAGUAGGGUAUCUAAUUUUUUUGAAGUACAUCAUUUUUAUGAGUGCACGUUGUGCCCUUUCAAGAUAGAUAAAACGACUUUUCGCUGCACCACCCCAGAUCGUUAUGCAGUACAAUAAGACAGAUUGCACCAGAGAGACAUAAAUUUCGUUUAAGAUGUUGCGAGGCUUUGUAAGAUUUGUUUUACCUGCAGUUUUCUGACUCUGCCGAUUAUUUGGUCAAGGUGAGAAUACCAGUUUAAAUGCUCGUCCAGUUGUAUACCCAAAUACUUAGUUUCAGAGACUUUUUCAAUAGUUGGACAGUUACAAGUAGAAAAAUUAA